AUUGAACGCUGGCGGCAUGCUUUACACAUGCAAGUCGAACGGUAACAGGCCGCAAGGUGCUGACGAGUGGCGAACGGGUGAGUAAUGCAUCGGAACGUGCCCAGUCGUGGGGGAUAACGCAGCGAAAGCUGUGCUAAUACCGCAUACGAUCUAUGGAUGAAAGCGGGGGACCGUAAGGCCUCGCGCGAUUGGAGCGGCCGAUGUCAGAUUAGGUAGUUGGUGGGGUAAAGGCCCACCAAGCCAACGAUCUGUAGCUGGUCUGAGAGGACGACCAGCCACACUGGGACUGAGACACGGCCCAGACUCCUACGGGAGGCAGCAGUGGGGAAUUUUGGACAAUGGGCGCAAGCCUGAUCCAGCAAUGCCGCGUGCAGGAAGAAGGCCUUCGGGUUGUAAACUGCUUUUGUACGGAACGAAAAGGUCUGGGUUAAUACCCUGGGCCGAUGACGGUACCGUAAGAAUAAGCACCGGCUAACUACGUGCCAGCCGCCGCCGUAAUAC
rnacentral:rRNA from 1 species